CGAGUGAACAGGGAUUAGCCCAGCAUCGAAGCCUGCGGUCGUUUGACUGCAAGGCAAUGUGAUGUUACAAAUUGUGCCUGUGGCUGCAGAUUAACUCGAAGUCCAAUAUUGAUUAUGGCUACAUAUAGAUGGCCCAGAGCGGGUGAAAGGCCCGUGCGAGUUGAUCGUUAGAUAUGAUUGCAGCCUCAGAUGCAUGGUUUGUGGAGUCGGAUUGCUUGUGAAUGCAGUCCAAAGUUGGUGGUAAACUCCAUCAAAGGCUAAAUACUGGCGCGAGUCCGAUAGCAAACAAGUACCGUGAGGGAAAGUUGAAAAGUACUCUGAAGAGAGAGUAAAUAGUACGUGAAACCAUAUGGAGGUAAACGGGUGGAGUCCAGCCGCGUGUUCAUUGGAUUUUGCUAGUAUGCUAUGCGAGAGCGUAACUGUUCUUGUGAUUAGCCACUGAGGGCUAUUCAAACGAUGUUUUGAAUAAUGUUGCUGAUUAAGCGGCAUGAAUCAUGAGUUGAAAUAGUUGGCAUGCUAGUGACCUUCCUGUGGGCUGACAUCACAAUCAAUGUCACUGCUUGCAUUUCUCGAUCAAACCGACAAGUGGCGAGCCUUCGGGUUUGUUCUUGUUGGGAUGGCAGGUGGCUUGUACGUUGCUUCGGUAGCGUGCGGGUUUAAACAUGGCUAUGGCCAGCCGAUCGAGACGUGUAUGUAUAUUUAUGCAGUGUAUUGGUCACCGAAUGAGUAUGCGCAGUUAACCAUGUGUGUCUGUUUGCGGGUUCGUGUUGAGUUUGACCUAAUGGUUGGCUUGAUGCUUGAGUCUGUACGUGGCAUAUACGGCUAAAUUGUGUUUCGCGUGA
rnacentral:rRNA from 1 species